UAGUGACAGAGUGAGGGAGAGGGUGACUAGUGACAGAGGGAGGGAUGGGGUGACACAGUGACAGAGGGAAGGAUGGGUUGACUAGUGACAGUCACCACCUCCCUCACUCUGUCACUAGUCACCCCCUCCCUCAUUAUGUCACUAG